AGGGAGGUGGGGGUCAGCCCCCACCAGGCCAGCCGCCCGUCCGGGAGGUGAGGGGCGCCUCUGCCCGGCCGCCCCUACUGGGAAGUGAGGAGCCCCUCUGCCCGGCCAGCCGCCCCGUCCGGGAGGGAGGUGGGGGGGGUCAGCCCCCCGCCAGGCCAGCCGCCCCAUCCAGGAGGGAGGUGGGGGGGGGUCAGCCCCCCCUCCUGGCCAGCCGCCCCGUCCGGGAGGUGAGGGGCGCCUCUGCCCGGCCGCCCCUACUGGGAAGUGAGGAGCCCCUCUGCCCGGCCGGCCAGCCGCCCCGUCCGGGAGGGAGGUGGGGGGGUCAGCCCCCAGCCCGGCCAGCCGCCCCGUCCAGGAGGUGAGGGGCGCCUCUGCCUUGCCGCCCCUACUGGGAAGUGAGGAGCCCCUCUUCCCGGCCACGACCCCGUCUGGGAGGUGUGCCCAGCGGCUCAUUGGGGACGGGCCAUGAUGACAAUGGCGGUUUUGUGGAAUAGAAAGGCGGGAAGGGUGGGGAAGAGAUUGAGAAAUCGGAUGGUUGCCGGGUCUGUGUGGAGAGAAGUAGACAUGGGAGACUUUUCAUUUUGUUCUGUACCAAGAAAAAUUCUUCUGCCUUGGGAUCCUGUUGAUCUGUGACCUUACCCCCAACCCUGUGCUCUCUGAAACAUGUGCUGUGUCCACUCAGGGUUGAGUGGAUUGAGGGCGGUGCAGGAUGUGCUUUGUUGGACAGAUGCUUGAAGGCAGCAUGCUCGUUAAGAGUCAUCACCACUCCCUAAUCUUAAGUACCCAGGGACACAAACACUGCGGAGGGCCGCAGGGUCCUCUGCCUAGGAAAACCAGAGACCUUUGUUCACUUGUUUAUCUGCUGACCUUCCCUCCACUAUUAUCCUAUGACCCUGCCAAAUCCGCCUCUGCGAGAAACACCCAAGAAUGAUCAAUAAAAAAAUAAAUAAAUAAAAUAAAAUAAAAUAAAAUAAAAAAGAAAACCUGCGACCCAGUGGGUGCCCACCCAGCUCCUCGAUGGUGAGAAAGGAACAGUUAGGAGAAGAGGAUGCUCCCUUCUCUGCCCUGGAUGUAGAGAGAAGGCUGGCUCCAACUCACAGCAUUAGGCCUGAACUCCUCCUUGUGGAAGAAGCCCCCAGUCAUCAUCUUCUUGCUGAAGGUCAUCACGUCUGCUGGGUCAUCCAGGCCCCAGUGCUCAUGGGCCCAGAACUUGCCCGUGCAGCCUCCUCCGGUCUGGACCUCGUCCACCAAGAAAGCGCAGCCAUGCUGGCCGGAGAAGAGAGAGGAGGGAGAAGUAAACACCCGUGGGAGGCCAGAAAUUCAUGCCCUCCAUAGCCAGCUAACUGCCAAACCCUGGGUCCACACACAUUGUGCUUGUUUUCUGAAGAGCAAACCAGCCCCAUGUUCUUGAGCUGUGCACAAAAAAAACUAAUCAAAACACUUAAGCUGAGCAGUUCCAACCAGAGCUGAAUCUGAGUGUUUCCUAAAACUGCUAAGCUGGAACAAAAAAAACCCAGAACAUUAAAUACUCCCUGCACCAACACAGAGCGGUAUGUCAUCUGGCUUCAGUCUCGGGUCUCGACCUCGUCAGAGGGAGCUGUGUCCAACAGUGAGGCCUUGAAUGUGCUUCUCAGACUUCAGCUGCCAUGUUCUGCUUGUCACCAGGGCUAUUUCUAACUCAGCAUCUGUGUUAAGUCAACUCACGUCUUAUAACUUUUAUCUGUGAACUUAUCGGUUUGAUUGCCAGUUAUAUAUGCACAAGACAUUAAAACAAACACACAAUAUAAAGAAAGCAAAUCAGUGUGUCAAAGAGAUACCUGCACUCCCGUGUUUAUUGCAGCACUGUUCACAAUAGCCAAGAUACAGAAUCAAUCUGUCCAUCAAUGGAUGAAUGGAUAAAGUAAAUAUGGUACAUAUACACAAUUGGCAAGGCGCGGUGGCUCUCGCCUGUAAUUCCAGCACUUUGGGAGGCUGAGGUGGGCAAAUCACCUAAGGCCAGGAGUCUGAGCCAAUCAGCCUGGCCAACAUGGCGAAACCCCGUCUCCACUGAAAAUACAAGAAUUAGCUGGGCAUGGUGUCGUGCACCUGUAACCUCAGCUACUUGGGAGACUGAGACAGGAGAAUCACUUGGACCGAGGAGGCAGAGGUUACAGUGAGCCAAGAUCGUGCCACUGCACUCCAGCCUGGGCAACAGAGUGAGACUGUCUCAAAAAAAAAAGAAAAAGAAAAUAUGGUACAUAUACACAAAGAAAUACUAUUCAGCCAUAAAAAGAAUGAAAUCAUGUCAUUAGCAAUGACGUGGAUGGAACUACAGGACAUUAUGUUAAGUGACAUAAGCCACACAUAGACAAAUGUUGCAUGUUCUCACUCAGGUGGGAACUAAAAACAUUUCCCUUAUGAAGAAAUAGAGUCGAAUGACGCCUAUCAGAGGCUGGCAAGGCUAAUGGGGAGGUGGAGAUAAAUAGGUGUUGGUUAAUGGAUACAAAAGUACAGUUAGAUAGAAGAAUAAGAUCUAGUGUCCAGUAGCACAAUAGGGUGAUUUUAGUUAAUAAUUUAUUGCCUAUUUCAAAACAGGAGUGGAUUUGGAAUAUUCCCAAUGCAAAGAGAUGAUAAAUGUUUUAGGUGAUGGAUAUCCAAUUACCCAGAUUUGAUCAUUACGCAUUGCAACUAUUAUGUAUCCAAAAAGGUUUUUUAAAAAGAUUUUAAGGCCAAGCGCGGAGGCUCAGGCCUGUAAUCCCAGCACUUUGGGAGGCUGAGGUGUGCAGAUCACCUGAGGUCAGGAGUUCAAGACCAGCCUGGCCAACAUGGCGAAACCUCGUCUCUGUUAGAAAUACAAAAAUUAGUUGGGUAUGGUGACGUGUGCCUGUAGUCCCAGCUACUCGGGAGGCUGAGGUGGGAGAAUCACUUGAACCUGGGAGGUAGGGGUUGCAGUGAGCUGAGAUCGCACCACUGCACUCCAGCCUGGGUAACAGAGUGACACUCUGUCUCAAAAAAAUAUAUAUAUAUAUGUGUGUGUUUGUGUGUGUGUGUGUGUAUAGUUUUAGGGAAGAAUCCCCAUUCUUUCACCAACCCCAACUUCUCCACCCCUGAUGCUGACAGACAGCCUCUGCAAGUCUGGAGAUUGACAGAAGCUCCAAGGCAGAGGUGCUGCUGGCCCGUUACUCUGGGAACUCAACCCAGAAAACCCAAUGGCUCCAUCCAACCUCGGCCCUGUCCACUGACAUCGCUUGAACCCAGGAGGUAGAAGUUGCAAUGAGCCGAGAUAUCGUGCCACUGCACCCCAGCCUGGGCAACAGAGUGAAACUCUGUCUCAAAAAAAAAAGAAAAACCCCAAACCGUACACCUAGAUAGACUAACAAGUGAAAGCUUUCUUUGUUAUGUACAAUUAAGAA
rnacentral:lncRNA from 1 species